AGAGUUGAUCCUGGCUUAGGAUGAACGCUAGCUACAGGCUUAACACAUGCAAGUCGCGGGGCAGCAUGGUCUUAGCUUGCUAAGACUGAUGGCGACCGGCGCACGGGUGAGUAACGCGUAUCCAACCUUCCCCUUAGUAGGGCAUAGCCCGGCGAAAGUCGGAUUAAUACCCUAUGUUCUUCGUAGAUGGCAUCUGAGACGAAGCAAAGGUUAGCGCUAAGGGAUGGGGAUGCGUCUGAUUAGGCAGUCGGCGGGGUAACGGCCCACCGAGCCAUCGAUCAGUAGGGGUUCUGAGAGGAAGGUCCCCCACAUUGGAACUGAGACACGGUCCAAACUCCUACGGGAGGCAGCAGUGAGGAAUAUUGGUCAAUGGGCGAGAGCCUGAACCAGCCAAGUAGCGUGCAGGACGACGGCCCUACGGGUUGUAAACUGCUUUUAUGCGGGGAUAAAGUGCCCUACGUGUAGGGUAUUGCAGGUACCGCAUGAAUAAGGACCGGCUAAUUCCGUGCCAGCCGCUGC
rnacentral:rRNA from 1 species